GGGGCUGAACGGUUUCGACUGCGUACGUUGAUUCAGGGGAAGCGUGUCGGUGCAGGCAAGAGACCACCGUAAGCGUCGCUGCAACCAAUUAAGCGCCGAUUCUCAUCAGCGCGAGUACGCUCUCGCUGCCUAAGCGAAGCGUCUCUGUCGGCCCGGGAUAUGCCCUCGGUCCCGGUGCCGGCAUCAGCUAGAGGGCUCACCGUCCGCCUCGGUCGCGGAGACGGACGGGACAUCCAACAGCGACUGGGAUCGUCAUCUCGGCUUGUUCGCGUGACCGAGAGAUCCGAGCAGAGACACAGCGAACUGCACACGGAGAAGCCCUGAAGACGCGGCGGAGGACCCGGGUUCGAUUCCCGGCAGCUCCACGACAG
rnacentral:tmRNA from 1 species